AACCUGGUAGCACAACGUCGUGCAUCUGCCUCCCGUUAAGGGAGUCCACGUAGCGAUUAUGACCGCAGAUGAUCCCGGUUCGAUUCCGGGCCAGGUCG